ACUUUACCACUUCCUAAUCUCAAGUCUCGUUGAUGAAAUAUAGCAAAGCAGGUUUUAAGCAACAAUCUAUUAAAGUCAAUAAGCAGUCUAAACAUCCAAUCGUUUGCGCUAGAAUCUACAAAUCUCUGGAAUUCGUAGAUCAGACAUCCAUUUGAACGUCUUUUGGACGCUGGAAUACCUUGGGUCGAAUUUCAAACUAAACUGAGUGAAAUAAGCGUUAGGGUCAACGAAUCUAGAAGGGAUCUAACCU
rnacentral:sRNA from 1 species